rnacentral:rRNA from 1 species
CAGUCGCCGCGGGAAUACAGAGGGUGCGAGCGUUAAUCGGAUUUACUGGGCGUAAAGCGUGCGUAGGCGGCUUCUUAAGUCGGAUGUGAAAUCCCUGAGCUUAACUUAGGAAUUGCAUUCGAUACUGGGAAGCUAGAGUAUGGGAGAGGAUGGUAGAAUUCCAGGUGUAGCGGUGAAAUGCGUAGAGAUCUGGAGGAAUACCGAUGGCGAAGGCAGCCAUCUGGCCUAAUACUUACGCUGAGGUACGAAAGCAUGGGGAGCAAACAGGAUUAGAUACCCCCGUAGUCCCUGUCUCUUAUAC